rnacentral:rRNA from 1 species
AUGCUAGCGGUCAUGAUUGAGCGUGCUAAGGUUGAUGGCCAAAUUGAUGGGGUGGUGAAUCAUCUAGUUGAUGGUGGUCUCUCCAUCCUUCAAUAUGAUGACGAUAAAAUUCUCUUUAUGGAUCAUGACCUCGAGAAAGCAAGAAAUCUGAAAUUAAUUUUAUCAGCAUUCGAGCAACUCUCAGGGCUUAAGAUCAAUUUCCAUAAAAGUGAAUUGUUUUGUUUUGGCGAGGCUCAAGACGAGGCUCAUCUGUAUGCUGACCUAUUCGGAUGCGGGUUGGCCCAGUUUCCGAUCACUUAUUUGGGGAUACCGAUACAUUAUCGGAGACUCACAAAUGCUGAAUGGAAAUACGUCGAGGAGAGACUACAAAAAAGGCUUAGCAGUUGGAAAGGUAAACUGCUAUCUCUGGAUGGAAGGUUGGUCCUCAUAAAUUCAGUAGUAAGUAAUAUGGUACUAUAUAUGAUUUCCUUCUUCCAGUUGCUAAAAGGAGUAUUACAUAGAUUGGAUUACUUCCGAUCGAGAUUCUUUUGGCAAGGAGAUAGCGAGAGAAAAAAAUAUCGACUGGCUAAAUGGAGUGUGGUUUGCCGUCCAAAG